rnacentral:tRNA from 1 species
UCCAGGGUAGCUUAGUGGACAUGGCACCUGCCCGGUAAGCAGAAGGUUGUGGGUUCGAUUCAUGCCCCUGGAC